CAGUCGCCGCGGUAAUACGAAGGGGGCUAGCGUUGUUCGGAUUUACUGGGCGUAAAGGGCGCGUAGGCGGAUUUGUAAGUCAGGGGUGAAAUCCCACAGCUCAACUGUGGAACUGCCUUUGAUACUGUGGAUCUUGAGUCCGGGAGAGGUGAGUGGAACUGCGAGUGUAGAGGUGAAAUUCGUAGAUAUUCGCAAGAACACCAGUGGCGAAGGCGGCUCACUGGCCCGGAACUGACGCUGAGGCGCGAAAGCGUGGGGAGCAAACAGGAUUAGAUACCCGAGUAGUCCCUGUCUCUUAUAC
rnacentral:rRNA from 1 species